AUAAAAAUUAAUAUUUUAAAAAUUAUGUUAUAGAAAUAUUAGUGGGUCAAGAGUCCAAUAAAAAUUAAUAUUUUAAAAUUUAUGUUAUAGAAAUAUUAGUGGGUCAAGAGUCACAAAUUCACGUAGAUCAAUUACUAAUUGAACCAAUAACAUCAAUAUGACAUCUUAAAUAUUUUAUUAUUAUUUUUAAUUAUAUCACAUAAAAAAUAUACAUAUAUUAAUUCUAGUAUCAUACUUAAUUACUAUAUAGUAAUUUCUAGAGUAAAUUAAGAAUAUAUAAAUUCUUAAGUUUCACAUUUUAUAAAAUUAAUCUAUACGAUUAUAAAAUAAAAUCAGCUAAAUUGAUUUUAAACAGUAAAAUUUUAAUAUGACUUAAUCAAAAUAACAUAGUCAGUUUGAUU
rnacentral:lncRNA from 1 species